rnacentral:lncRNA from 1 species
GUGUACUGCCCUCUUCAGUUUGAGCUUCAGAAUAAUGUUUACAGUAUGUCCACCGCCGGAAUGUUGUUUUUGGGCAUUUUGACUAGGCUAGCCCGGCCUAAGCUUGCGAAAUGAAUGAAAAUGAUAUGCUUUCUUUAAUGCGAAUCAGUCUCAAUUGACGAGGAAGAAUUAUGGCAUAAAAGCGGACUGUAUCAAUGUUAUACUAACUAGGCCCAUUGCAAGAAAGUAUCAACAUGGUUCAAACAAUAUAUCAUUUGAAGAAAGAUUAUAAAACAUUCCAGCACCAUAGCAACCACCCUAGUACAAUGCUGCUGCCACCACACUAUGGUUUCUAUGGUAAUCCAUAUCAACAGAAGAAUAAUCCAUGAAUGAUGCAGCAUCAGUGUUAUAAUGGUUGCUGUAGAUACCUGUCACAUGCCAUGCAUUUACAUUCGCAGCAGUCUGAAGGUCAAGUGAACGCUAUUGGAUUUGACAUUGAUGAGAGCAAUUCUGAUGAGUUUUGAGAUGGAGUUCAGUGAUGAAUUGCUUAACUUUUCUUUGCUGUUUCAGCAAAAUUGAAAGAAGAAAGGUCACCUAAUUCAACCGAACACCCCUAUUUAUAAAUGGAAUGUGCCUAAAGUGCCAGUUGGAUUUAAACUAUCAGUGAAACGAGAUGAUAUGACAGGCGUUACAUUGAGUGGUAAUAAAAGCAACAUGUUGGUACAGUCGGCCAGAAUGUUAGGAAGCAGUGGUGUUCAGCUUCAGGAUGAGUAGUAAAAUUGAGAGAGUGGAUAGAAACAUAAGAAUACAGUGUGCUGGAAACACAGGCACAUGUUUAUUGUGGAUUUUCGAAGACAAGCAUUCAGUAAGAGUUUGUUAUUGUAUGAAGCAGAUAAACAAUUGGAUGUCCAGUCAGAUUUGUUGGAAGCUUGGAUAACUGUAGCUGUAAAGAUGGUUGAGCAAAGAAAUGCAUUGUGGGAAAUCAGGACUGAUUAGUUUAAACCCUGGUAACUGAAGCUUAGCAACAUCAGACUGGGAUAAAGCGUGGAAGUCAAAUUUUAACACAUAGAAAUGAAGAUGAACUUUGAGAAAUAGACUAAUUUCUUUGAAUUAUGUAGUGUACGGUAUACUGGUACUUGAAGCUAUGGUGAACUCUGAUGUAUGGAGAUGAAGCAGAUAAAUUGUGGAAAGUCUAAACCACAACAGACAUUUUUUGCGCAUUCAUAAAUGAAUGAUUAUGAAUUGAAGUACUGUUUGCCAAGUGAAAUUUGUGAUUUAGUAAGUAAAAUAAGUGUUGACCUUUAAAAAUGCUGAAAUUUUUGACUGAUUCUGGACCUAGUUAAAAAUAGAAUGUUGGCCCGAUUCAGAGCUUAAUUUAAAAGGCUGGUCCAUUGUGAGUUAAAUUUCUCGACUAAAGGCUUAUAGAUAAAAUUCUGAAUUUUAGUUGAAAUGUUGAUCCAAUUCUGGUCUGUAGAGUAGUGUAAAACAUUGGUCCAAUUCUGGUGUAAAUUGUUGGUCCUAUCUUGGACUAAGUGUAAAAUCCUGGACUGAGUACUAUGCUGGACUUAGUUAAAAUUCUGUUCUUAGUAGAUAUUCUGGACUUGGUACACAUGUAAACGGUUGAGUCCUAUUCUGGAUAUUAGUUAAAUUAAUGUAAAUCGUUGAGUCCUAUGCUGGACUUAGUUAAAUUAAUGUAAAUCGUUGAGUCCUAUUCUGGACUUAGUUAAAUUAAUCUAAAUGGUUGAGUCCUAUUCUGAACUUAGUGUAAAAUAUUGGUCCAGUUCUGGACUUAAAUUUCUGGACUAAUGGCUUAUAGAUAAAAUUCUGAAUUUUAGUUAAAAUGUUGAUCCAAUUCUGGUCAGUAGAGUAGUGUAAAUUAUUGGUCCUUUUCUGGACUUUAGUGUAAAACAUUGGUCCAAUUCUGGACUUAGUGUAAAUUGUUGGUCCUAUUUUGAACUUAGUACUAUGUUGGACUUAGUUGAUAUUCUGGACUUGGUAUGGUACACAUGUAAAUGGUUGAGUCCUAUUCUGGAUUUUAGAAUAAAUUAAUGUAAAUCGUUGAGUCUUAUGCUGGACUUAGUUAAAUUAAUGUAAAUGUUUGAGUCCUAU